rnacentral:rRNA from 1 species
GAUGAGCGCUGGCGGCAUGCCUAAUACAUGCAAGUCGAACGAAGCACUUGUGCUUAGUGGCGAACGGGUGAGUAAUACGUAAGCAACCUGCCCUACACACGGGGAUAACUACUGGAAACGGUAGCUAAUACCCGAUAGGUCAUAAAGUGGCAUCACUUAAUGAUUAAAGGUCCCUUCAAGGACCAGUUUGGGAUGGGCUUAUGGCGCAUUAGCUAGUUGGUGAGGUAACGGCUCACCAAGGCGAUGAUGCGUAGCCGACCUGAGAGGGUGGUCGGCCACACUGGGACUGAGACACGGCCCAGACUCCUACGGGAGGCAGCAGUAGGGAAUCUUCGGCAAUGGACGAAAGUCUGACCGAGCAACGCCGCGUGAGUGAAGAAGGUUUUCGGAUCGUAAAACUCUGUUGUUAGAGAAGAACAAGUAGGAGAGUAACUGCUCUUACCUUGACGGUAUCUAACCAGAAAGCCACGGCUAACUACGUGCCAGCAGCCGCGGUAAAAC